GGAAAUUCAAAUCAUCACCAAAAUUAACAAACAAUCUAUCAUUUUAUUUGUUUCGAUGAGAGGAUCAUUAAUAUGUAUUCAAAUCAAGGUGGGUACGAACUAUUUGGCCGGAAAUUGAUCGGAAAGGUUCGGUGAUACCCAUUUUGGGUUUUCCGAUUCCGGCUAUUACAGUCGACGAGGAGGCCAUCAAAUUAAAGAGGAAGAAGAGAGGAGUCAUUUGGUACUCACCUUGCGCCCUUGGCUUGCCUGAAACGGCGUGAAUCGCCGGAAAAAGUUGUCCCAAACUUCAAGCUCUUCCCCUUCAAAAUAGACACAAUUUCAGUUCAAAUCUAAGCUAUAAUCUUCUUCCUCGCGUUGA